UACGGGGGGGGCAAGCGUUGUUCGGAAUUACUGGGCGUAAAGGGCUCGUAGGCGGCCAACUAAGUCAGACGUGAAAUCCCCAGGCUCAACCUGGGAACUGCGUCUGAUACUGAUUGGCUUGAAUCCGGGAGAGGGAUGCAGAAUUCCAGGUGUAGCGGUGAAAUGCGUAGAUAUUCGCAAGAACACCAGUGGCGAAGGCGGCUCACUGGCCCGAUACUGACGCUGAGGCACGAAAGCGUGGGGAGCAAACAGG
rnacentral:rRNA from 1 species